UGUUAAAAAAUUCAUCUAUUUGCACUAUUAAAAACUGACGUAGCUGGCGAAAUAACAAGACUGUGACACAUAAUCUGCCAUAUAUAUCUCAUGUUGAUGUACAGUGAUCAGUUUUUAACAAUAGAAAUGAAUAGAGCUUUUAUGA
rfam:Gossypium arboreum cultivar AKA8401 contig_44384_1, whole genome shotgun sequence.